rnacentral:lncRNA from 1 species
AAAUCAAUAUUACUGCUCAUAAAUAGUUCAAAUUAGCACUAUCAGGAGCCUACUCAAACACCAUUUGUGAAUAUCUCUCUAUUUAAAUCUCAAGUUCUGAACACUACACUAUUCCAAAUAAAUAUGCACAUUCUUUUGUAUACAUCCAGUGCAUCUCCAUCAAUAAAGAUCUUAACGAAAACUUACCACUUUCCAAGAUGAUGUUACCUUCCUCAUAAUAACAUAUGUUGCAUGAUUCAAAUGAUUAUUUGAAACUCAGCAUAGAAAAAAAAUCUUAACAAAUAAAAAUAUCAUCAUUUUUAAGAAAAGUGAAGAUGCCAAUAUAAACCUGGCCAAUUGGGAAAUAUAAAAUUUACACUUGACUAACGUCCGCGCAUAAGAGAAAGCCUUUCUAGGUCAAAGCUACAACAUCAAGGAUCUGCAUAGAAAAAAAAUCUUAACAAAUAAAAAUAUCAUCAUUUUUAAGAAAAGUGAAGAUGCCAAUAUAAACCUGGCCAAUUGGGAAAUGUAAAAUUUACACUUGACUAACGUCCGCGCAUAAGAGAAAGCCUUUCUAGAUCAAAGCUACAACAUCAAGGAUCUCUCUGUCCUUGCGCCUAAAUUUCAGGCUUCAAAUCUUGUCUUCUGAACCUGAAAACAACCAAGUUUAUGCAGGAUAUUUGUGAAAUCGGUACAACUACAAUUGCUAUA